rnacentral:rRNA from 1 species
GACGAACGCUGGCGGCGUGCUUAACACAUGCAAGUCGAACGGAAAGGCCCUGCUUUUGUGGGGUGCUCGAGUGGCGAACGGGUGAGUAACACGUGAGUAACCUGCCAUUGACUUUGGGAUAACUUCAGGAAACUGGGGCUAAUACCGGAUAGGAGCUCCUGCUGCAUGGUGGGGGUUGGAAAGUUUCGGCGGUUGGGGAUGGACUCGCGGCUUAUCAGCUUGUUGGUGGGGUAGUGGCUUACCAAGGCUUUGACGGGUAGCCGGCCUGAGAGGGUGACCGGCCACAUUGGGACUGAGAUACGGCCCAGACUCCUACGGGAGGCAGCAGUGGGGAAUAUUGCACAAUGGGCGGAAGCCUGAUGUAGCAACGCCGCGUGCGGGAUGACGGCCUUCGGGUUGUAAACCGCUUUCGCCUGUGACGAAGCGUGAGUGACGGUAAUGGGUAAAGAAGCACCGGCUAACUACGUG